ensembl:lncRNA
GGAAAGGACUAGAAAACAGGUGCAAGAAACCGGUAGGAGCAGGGGAACAAACACUGGUAGGUUUCACAAACAAAACGAACUGGCAACAGACAAACAGAGAACACAGGUAUACAUACAUAGGGGAUAAUGGGGAAGAUGGGCGACACCUGGAGGGGGUGGAGACAAGCACAAAGACAGCCUUGUCAUUUUAGGGGCAGCUUGAAACAGAAGUCAUCCUCCCAGGAAGUAGUUGAUCAUGGUGCUGAUGACGGGCAUCACCUCUUCUUCGUCACCCGCUAGAAGGAUCGUCUGCUUGGGCUUCGAGAUCUGCUCUCCAAACCUGUGGCUGGCUACUUUCUUUACCAACUCAACUGAUGGAGCCCUAGAGUGCUUCAGUUCACUCUUUUACAACUUCAGCCAAUCGUUUGGUCUUUGGGACAAUGACCCAACACACCUCCAUGCUGUGUAAGGGUUAUUUUAUCAAGAAGGAGAGUGAUGGAGUGCUGCAUCAGAUGACCUGGGAUGAGUUGGACCGCAGAGUGAAGGAAAAGGAGACAACAAGUGCUCAGCAUAUGUUGGAACUCCUUCAAGACUUUUGGAAAAGCAUUCCAGGUGAAUCUGGUUGUGAGAAAGCCAAGAUUGUACAAAGCUGUCAUCAAUGCAAAGGUUGGCUACUUUGAAGAAUCUAAAAUCAAAAAAUUAACACUUUUUUGUUUACUACAUUUACUACAUAUAAAAAUGUUAUUUUAUAGUUUCGAUGUCUUCACUAUUAUUCGACAAUGUAGAAAAUAGUUUUAAAAAAAGAAGAAAAACCCUGGAAUGAGUAGGUGUGUCCAAACUUUUGACUGGUACUAUAGAUACAUAGAAAGAGAGAGAGAAAAAUAGAGUGAGUGUCGUGUCAACCAUUAACCUGCAGUGUCGUGUCAACCAUUCAGCAUUCAAAGGAAUGCUCCAGACACAUUAAAAGCAG